AGUGAACGCUGGCGGUAGGCCUAACACAUGCAAGUCGAACGGCCGCACAGUAAGAGCUUGCUCUUACGGGUGGCGAGUGGCGGACGGGUGAGGAAUACAUCGGAAUCUACUUUUUCGUGGGGGAUAACGUAGGGAAACUUACGCUAAUACCGCAUACGACCUACGGGUGAAAGCAGGGGAUCUUCGGACCUUGCGCGAUUGAAUGAGCCGAUGUCGGAUUAGCUAGUUGGCGGGGUAAAGGCCCACCAAGGCGACGAUCCGUAGCUGGUCUGAGAGGAUGAUCAGCCACACUGGAACUGAGACACGGUCCAGACUCCUACGGGAGGCAGCAGUGGGGAAUAUUGGACAAAGGGCGCAAGCCUGAUCCAGCCAUACCGCGUGGGUGAAGAAGGCCUUCGGGUUGUAAAGCCCUUUUGUUGGGAAAGAAAAGCAGCAGGUUAAUACCCGGCUGUUCUGACGGUACCCAAAGAAUAAGCACCGGCUAACUUCGUG
rnacentral:rRNA from 1 species